UACGAAGGGGGCUAGCGUUGCUCGGAAUUACUGGGCGUAAAGCGCACGUAGGCGGAUAUUUAAGUCAGGGGUGAAAUCCCAGAGCUCAACUCUGGAACUGCCUUUGAUACUGGGUAUCUCGAGUAUGGAAGAGGUGAGUGGAAUUCCUAGUGUAGAGGUGAAAUUCGUAGAUAUUAGGAAGAACACCGGUGGCGAAGGCGGCCCACUGGUCCGGUACUGACGCUGAGGUGCGAAAGCGUGGGGAGCAAACAGG
rnacentral:rRNA from 1 species